AAGAAAAAACAUUUAUACAGUAAAAUUAAUGUUAUCAUAUUAUUAAAAUUUUGGAAAAUUAGAAAAAAAAAACACAUUGCCUGCCAUCUUGACACAUGGUAUACAAAGGUGUGUAAUUUUCUCAGCAACAAAUCACCAAAGUAAAUAUACAAUUUCAUGUCUUACUUUCUUCAACCAACAUUAUAUUUUUUAAAACAUUUCUAGUUAUCAUUUUUAAAGGCAGUAUUUUAAUGGGAGGAUAAUGUUCACCCAGGGGAUUAUAAAAAUAUGUUAAUCAUUUUUCUAUUUAUUCAUAGUGUUUCACAAUAAUAAAUCUUCAAGGACUGGGGCUUUAGAUAGAAUGAUAGAGAUCUUGCCUGAUGUUUGAGGCUCUGGGUUCCAUCUCCAACACCAUUAAAAAAUUUUAAUUUUAAAAAAAUAUAUGUAAUAAAUAUCAUCAUGUACCUAAUGAUACAUAUUUUAAAUUUUUCUUUAGUUUAGAGUCUAGAAGUUGAAUUAUAGGCUCAGGUUAUGAAUAUGCUUAUGACUCUUGAUGGAGAUCACAAAUUGCUUUCCAAAAAAGUUGUACUUAUUUACACAGCCAACAACAACAUCUGGGGGCCUCUGUGACAGGUCAUCACCUGUAUUGAGAUGGGGUUUUGAAAUGAUUCUCAGGCUAAUUUCGCUCAACAAUGUCCUCUCCUUUAGUAGCCAAUGUAUAGGUACAAAAUAAUAAACAGAUACACUACUAAAGAUGAUAAACCAAAGAGGGAUGUUAUUUAAAUUACAUGAGUACUAAAAAAGAAAAAAAAUGAAUUACAGUAGAUGGGGUAGAGAGA
rnacentral:lncRNA from 1 species